AUAGAAAUAAUUUUCACCAUCUAGUGAAGCCCCUCCUUCAAUAGCAAUUAAGCCUUUGCAACCAGAUCACAAGAAGCACACGGAUGAUGAAGACUCUUGCUUAGUAGCAUCCUCGUAUCCAUACUUCUUAACCAUACUAAAACUAAGGACUAUGAUGUUCAAACCUACUUCUGAAUCAGCCUCGUUCAGGUGUGGUACACCUUUAUUCUUAGUUAUAAGAGAAGCUCAAGCACCAGAGGCGGAGAAAAUUAAAUAUGAUGCAAGAACUAUGGUAAAAUAUCAUCUUGUCUAUGGUUCUUAGCAAUAUGAUCAUAAGGUACUGUUUGUUUUCUUUACAAUUACAUAUUUAUGCCUAUUGGGACAGGUCAAAUGGGUUGAAAGUGACCAAAGUUAAUUAAAUGCUUACCUUAUAAAUUGCUUUGUUUAAAAAAUUAGAUUAGUUUCAGAUAGUAACGUUUUCGUAAUUAUAUCGUGUACAUACUGUUUAAAAGAUUGGAUUUUUUGAGGUCUCACGUUUGAUUCCAUCUCCGUUGAAUUUGGCACGAGUUUAUCCUCUCAUUACAGACUGGUAUACAUACUAUUUUCAGAAAGUACAGUAUUUGAAUUCUUAAAGUGAUUGGAAUGCAGUG
rnacentral:lncRNA from 1 species